AGCCUUCCCCCUCUCAUCUCCCUCUCUCUCUCUCUCUCUCCCCCCCUUCCCCGCCGCUGUCGCCUUCGACAUCGCACCGCCCUUCGCCGCUGCCCUCGUCGAGCUAGAGCUGCCUCUGCGGGCUUCCCCUGUUGGUGCCCGACUCCCUCACCCAAUCUCGUUCACCUAACCGCUCGCUCCCCGACCUGCUCACGCCUCGCCUAGGGUUUGGGGUUUUGGGGGCAGGCGGGCAGCUACGUCCGGCAGUGCGGGCGAAGUCGAGGGGCGGCGGAGGCGCGGGGGGAGGAGCGCGUGGCUGGCCGCGGACGGGAGCAAGCGCUAGGGAGAGGCCUUCUUCCUGCUCUACACGCCCUUCUAGCUCACGCUCUGCCUCGGCAUCAUCGUCCCCUUCGAGCUCUACGAGAUGUUCACGGAGUACCUGAUUCUCAGAUUGGUGUCCACCGUGCCGGCGUUACUCAUCCCCCACUUCCUUGUAGGGAAGCACUGCACACAGAGCCUAUGCUUCAACAGAGGGAAUUACCAAGUAUUUGAAGCCUGCUGUUGCUGGCUUCCUCAUGCAGAAGAUUGUUCCUGCAUCCUCUAUCCCUGAUGGUUGGAUGGGUCUCGAUAUUGGUCCUGAUUCCAUCAAGACUUUCAGUGAGACGUAGGACACCACCAAGACUGUCAUCUGAAAUGGUCCUAUGGGAGUUUUUGAGUUUGAGAAGUUUGCUGAUGGCACUGAUGCGAAAGUUGGCUGAUAUCACUGCCAAAGGUGUGACAACCAUCAUUGGAGGUGGGGACUCUGUUGCUGCCGUCGAGAAGGCCGGGUUGGCGGACAAGAUGAGCCAUGUCUCAACUGGCGGUGGUGCGAGUCUGGAGCUGCUGGAAGGCAAGCAAGACCCUCCCAAGUGUCCUUGCUCUUGACAACGUGUAGGCGCAGGCUGAUACUGCGGUGGUGUAAAUGCGAGUCCUCGUCUGCCAUCGAGGACUUCGAGAUAUAGGCUUCUCUUUUUGAGUUUUUGCUAGAAGAUAAGCGAAUAAAUUUUACUUGCGUGGGCAUGAGACUAUAGUUGUGCCCGGAACAAAUGUAUAGGAGAUCGCAGAUAGUGGGCAAGUGACAUCGCAGAGCUCGGCAGGCAUCUGCAAGCCUGCUUCAUGUAUACUGCAAAAACCCAACAGGAGAUGGCAGGUUUGUAAUAUAUGAUGGCGGGCUCCCGCAGAGUGAUUUCUUUA